CCCUACGGGGCGCAGCAGUGAGGAAUAUUGGUCAAUGGGCGCGAGCCUGAACCAGCCAAGUCGCGUGAGGGAAGACGGUCCUAUGGAUUGUAAACCUCUUUUGUCGGGGAGCAAAAGACGCCACGCGUGGCGUUCCGAGAGUACCCGAAGAAAAAGCAUCGGCUAACUCCGUGCCAGCAGCCGCGGUAAUACGGAGGAUCCGAGCGUUAUCCGGAUUUAUUGGGUUUAAAGGGUGCGUAGGCGGCCUUUUAAGUCAGCGGUGAAAGUCUGUGGCUCAACCAUAGAAUUGCCGUUGAAACUGGGAGGCUUGAGUAUGUUUGAGGUAGGCGGAAUUCGUGGUGUAGCGGUGAAAUGCUUAGAUAUCACGAAGAACCCCGAUUGCGAAGGCAGCUUACUAAACUGUGACUGACAUUGAUGCUCGAAAGUGUGGGUAUCAAACAGGAUUAGAUACCCGAGUAGUC
rnacentral:rRNA from 1 species